GCCCGAGUAGCUCAGUUGGUAGAGCGACGCUCUCGUAAAGCGUAGGUCAGGAGUUCAAUUCUCCUCUCGGGCUC
rnacentral:tRNA from 1 species